rfam:Candidatus Tagabacteria bacterium RIFCSPLOWO2_01_FTLL_39_11 rifcsplowo2_01_scaffold_27751, whole genome shotgun sequence.
CUCCCUGUAGUUCAACGGACAGAACACCAGCCUUCUAAGCUGGACAUGGAGGUUCGAUUCCUCCCGGGGAGG